rnacentral:rRNA from 1 species
UACAGAGGCCUCGAGCGUUAGGCGGAAUCACUGGGCUUAAAGCGCGUGUAGGCGGGUCGUUAAGUGUCCGAGUGAAAUCCCACGGCUCAACCGUGGAACUGCCGGGCAUACUGGCGAUCUUGAGGCAUUCAGGGGCGAGCGGAACAAAUGGUGGAGCGGUGAAAUGCGUAGAUAUCAUUUGGAACGCCAAUGGUGAAAACAGCUCGCUGGGAAUGAUCUGACGCUGAGACGCGAAAGCCAGGGGAGCGAACGGG